rnacentral:tRNA from 1 species
CACUAGAUGUCUGAAAACAAGUAAUGGUCUCUUAAACCACUCAUAGUAGAUUAGUACCUACUUCUAGUG